GUGAUUGGCAAAUGCCAUUUUAAAGUCAAAAAAUACACCUAAAUCCUUAGUCUCCACACAACGGGUUAGCAAACUACCUUGAAUAUUGUAUGGAUGUUCAAUAUGUCUAUGUUUUCUAGUAUAUGACAUGACUUUACAUUUACCUAUAUUCAGAUGU